rnacentral:misc_RNA from 1 species
AUAUAUCAACCUCUUUUAAAUUUUGAGAGUGUUUGGAUGUGGGGGUGUUAUUUUGCUGGCCUUUUCUAAAGGUCAGCUCCCCUGAAAUGUAUUAGCGGAACAAUUUGUUGACCGUUCAUUGGUGUGAUAGCAUAUCUACGCUAUUGACGUGAAGCAAGUUCAGCUUAUAACAGUCCAUUGACUUGGACAAUUCUCUAUUUAUUA